AUUGAACGCUGGCGGCAUGCCUUACACAUGCAAGUCGAACGGCAGCACGGGAGCUUGCUCCUGGUGGCGAGUGGCGAACGGGUGAGUAAUACAUCGGAACGUACCCUGAAGUGGGGGAUAACGUAGCGAAAGUUACGCUAAUACCGCAUAUUCUGUGAGCAGGAAAGAGGGGGAUCGCAAGACCUCUUGCUUUAGGAGCCGGCCGAUGUCGGAUUAGCUAGUUGGUGAGGUAAAGGCUCACCAAGGCGACGAUCCGUAGCGGGUCUGAGAGGAUGAUCCGCCACACUGGGACUGAGACACGGCCCAGACUCCUACGGGAGGCAGCAGUGGGGAAUUUUGGACAAUGGGCGCAAGCCUGAUCCAGCCAUGCCGCGUGAGUGAAGAAGGCCUUC
rnacentral:rRNA from 1 species